GCCUGGCCCUCUGGCUUGGCCACGUACUAGCUGGGUAACCUGGAGCAACUUGUUUCUGUUAGCCUCUGUUUCUUCUUCUGUCAAAUGGGUUAAGAACCCCUCCUGGUCAGGCGUGGUGGCUCACGCCUCUAAUCCCAGCACUUUGGGAGGCCGAGGCGGGCGGAUCACUUAAGGUCAGGAGUUCAACACCAGCCCAGCCAACAUGGUGAAACCCCGUCUCUACUAAAAAUACAAAAAUUAGCCGGGCAUCAUGGCACGCGCCUGUAAUCCUGGCUACUCGGGAGGCUGAGGCAAGAAAAUCUCUUGAACCCGGGAGGCAGAGGUUGCAGUGAGCCAAGAUCACACCAUUACACUCCAGCCUGGGGGACAAGAGCGAGACUUUGUCCAAAAAAAAAAAAAACUCUCCUGACGAUGAGGUUUUUGGGGCUCCUAUGAGACUAUGCACCGAAAGCCCCCAGCAUGGUACCUGGCCCCAGUGAGUGUUAGGUCAGGGGUGGCCACGUUUACAGUCACUGCCAUUGCCACACGAGCUAUUCUGACAGUGGGGGGUGGGCGUGCUCUGGGCUCAGUCUGCUUGGUCCUGCAGCCCACUGCGUGGCGGCUGAGCCCGUAGGUGUCAGCUCUGACCCACCUCCCCAUUCCACGUGAUGAACAGCUCCUGGUACACAGAGAUGUGGGCGUGCCGCAGCUUCAGCAGUGGCAUCAGCUGCCAGGAUAGAGCAGAGGAAACGGAGAAGUCAGUGCCUCUCCACGCCUUUCUCAGCUCGGGCUUCUCUGUCACACAUCCCAACAAACAUGCAAGCCUCGGGCUCUGAGCUGGGCCAGGGAGUGGGCUCAGGGAAGCUGCACGGUGGUUGGGAGCCAGGCAAAUUUUUUUGUAUUUUUGGUUGA
rnacentral:lncRNA from 1 species